rnacentral:lncRNA from 1 species
GUACUAGCACCCAAGGCACCCAACGGUAGAAAGCUCGCCAGCAACAUCCGAGCUCCUCUUAGAUGGAGAGCUACCCCUCUCCACCAGACACCUCAAUCGAGCUUCGGCCGACAGGCCUGGACUCCCUGGCAGGCCACAGUAAUGGCCGCGACUCUGCUCCACUUCCUAUAACGGAUCCCACGCGGCUCCAUCAUGCUCUGGCAAGUCACGA